UACAGAGGCUGCAAGCGUUGCUCGGAAUCACUGGGCGUAAAGCGCACGUAGGCGGGUUGUUAAGUCGGGGGGUGAAAUCCUGGAGCUCAACUCCAGAACUGCCUUCGAUACUGGCGACCUUGAGUCCGGGAGAGGUGAGUGGAACUCCGAGUGUAGAGGUGAAAUUCGUAGAUAUUCGGAAGAACACCAGUGGCGAAGGCGGCUCACUGGCCCGGUACUGACGCUGAGGUGCGAAAGCGUGGGGAGCAAACAGG
rnacentral:rRNA from 1 species